AGAAGGCAUCUGAAACUUUGACGCCCUGUAAAAAAGUGACACACUGCUACAAAAAAGUGAAACACCCUGUAUAUUUUUUAAAUACGUCUUUCUAAAUAUUUCCAUACAUAUUAACUCGAUGCUCCAAAACAAAACCAUUCCAAGGCAACUCUAACCAAUAUUUCCUCGAUGAAUGGGCGCAGAAGCCGAACGUCCAUGUCGCAAGGGAAAUAACUUGAAGCGAUUGGCCGCCGAUCACAGCCGAUUAGCGCGAACGCGGUGCGGGGGAAACGCUGCUGGGGACUCAAUGUGUUUGAGCCCUCGAUCGGAUUUUCGCUUAGUGAUGCGACGAUGUGUUGUUUUUUAUUUGGCGGCAAACAUGGACUCUUCUUUUAAAUCGUAAUGUGAUUGUGAAAAAAGUAGAAAAUAGAGGAUUUAGAAGCAAAAGUGGAAAUUGGGAAUUAUAGCCUAUUAUUAUAAAGAAUUGACCACUUUUGAUUGAGCAGCAGUUGACAACAGAAUGUACCUACACGAAUCUUAGGGAUUGUUAUGUAUUACCUUUCAAAAUGAAUAAAAUUAAGGGCAAAAACUGCAUGAAGGUAUCAGAGACCAAAAAAAUUACCAAGUAAAACUCCCUACACAGCAUAAAUUCUCUUAUUUCUAGAUAGGCUUUUUGACAGCCUUAAUGUCAAAACUUACUCUAAAUCUGACGCCAAACCGAAGAGAAUUUCAUUGUAUAAGUAAUUUUUGAGAGGUGUUCUGUAUUAUUCUUGAAAUCUAUGAAAUUUUUAAAGGCAAAUAGAUAAAUAGCAGUACUUGUAAAUUGUACUCAUUGUCCCUUACAUUGCAAGUUUUUUGAUUUUUUUACCUGUAUAAGAAGCAUUGGUAACCUUUGGGUAAAUAUUAAAAUUUUAUUGACCUUAAUUUUAUUUAGUAUAACCUUUUGCAAAAUCCUGUAUAAAUUCUUCUUUGCAAAGCU